AGAGAGAGACAUGCGCGCAUAUCAAUAAGCGGAGGAAAAGAAACUAACUAGGAUUCCCUUAGUAACGGCGAGUGAAGCGGGAAGAGCUCAAAUUUGAAAUCUUCAAGGGUUCUACCUUUACGAAUCGUAGUUUAAAGAAGUGUUUUCUGUUGAGGUUUUGGUAAAAGUUCUUUGGAAUAGGACAUCAUAGAGGGUGAGAAUCCCGUAUUUGACCAUUACUUUCAACUGUGUGAUACACUUUCAAAGAGUCGGAUUGUUUGGGAAUGCAGUCCAAAAUGGGUGGUAAAUUUCAUCUAAAGCUAAAUAUUGGCGAGAGACCGAUAGCGAACAAGUACCGUGAGGGAAAGAUGAAAAGAACUUUGAAAAGAGAGUUAAACAGUACGUGAAAUUGUCAAAAGGGAAGCGUUUGACACCAGUGUUGUUUUCUCGAAAAUCAAUUAAAAAAGGCUAGGAUUUUGUGUUGUAUUGACCUUAAUCAGCUUCUGCACUUCAAUUUUCUUGUCUUUUUUAAUGCACUUUUCGUUUAACAAGUCAACAUCAGUUUCUUUUGUUGUAAAAAGGGUCAUUGGAAGGUGGCUUUCUUUUCGGAGAAAGUGUUUAUAGCCUUUGGCCUCUGCAAUCGGAGAGAUUGAGGUCUGCAGCGUAGAUCCUUCGGGGUUAGAUACAUUCGUGCUAAGUUAUAGCCUUUCAUAGACAACUUGUUGACUAUGAUCAGUCAUGUAGCUUACUCGCUUAUGCUAUUUUACCUACGCUUAGGAUGUUGAUGUGAUACUGCGAGC
rnacentral:rRNA from 1 species